rnacentral:lncRNA from 1 species
CAGGAUAGUCACACCCAAGGUGCAUCUGUCGGGUUUAAAUAAUCACCAAACACUGAAAUGAAUCAUUGAAUUGAUUUAGAAGGGUCCUUCUUGUUAGGAUAACUAUAUUAGGAGAGGAGGAGGAUGACCCAGCAGGUGGAGAGAGAGAGUCUGCAGGAUGGCUGGUGGAGAACAGUAGAGAGGUGCAGCAGGAGCAGGGUCCUUCAUAGCCCCUUUUUCAGGUGCUAAACACACAUUUUCAACCCCAAAUGUUCUUCCUUAACAGUUUACUAGGAUGGAUAGACACAUAGACAGAUUAACAGUUUUAAUGCCAAAAGCAUGAGAGUGAAGUGACAGAGACAGAAAUGAAGUGGAUAUCCAGGGAACCCAGGAUCUGGUAGAGGAUUGGACUUGACUUACUCUCUAUCCAUGCUACUGGAACACAGGCACUCUUAACCACCGUGAAGCCUAAAUGGUCUUGUUCUCUCAUCCAUUUCCUCCACCCUUGUGUGAAUUUAUAUAGAGCGCCGGAUCCUGAUAAUGCUGCAAGCGCUGAAGAAGAGUGGACCUCCGCUCCUGAAGAACCGACUACGGAACAGAAGCCAUUCUCCACCUCCCAACAUGAUUGCUCUAAGGGGCCAAGAGGGGAGAGGAGGAGAUGGAGGCAGAGGAAGAAAGGAGGAGAGAUGAAGAAGAAGAAUAUUUUAAUUCUCAAAAGAUUAUCUCAAUAAAGGAGAGAUAACCUUUUCUUUUUCUUUUAAACCUUUUUAAAUCUAUGACGCACUGUACCUUUUUAACCCUUGUAUGGUGUUCAUUUUUUUGUUACUCAGAAGGUGUUGUGGGAUUUUUGGGUGUUUAAUUCAACACAAUCAAACUAUUUUAUGGUAAAAUACUCAACAGAUAGGCUCUGUCCCAAUACUACCACUUCACCCUAGCACUUCGCCCUUCCCCUUCGUCUAUGCGUUUCGCAAAGGGGAAGUGUUGUUCAACCCUUCAAACAACCCCUUCAAACGGAGUGCUUCAUUCCAAUUAGAAGCAAUAUGAACAGCAAAUAUGGUUAAUAGUGGUAACUUUGUUAUAUCACAUUUGAAGAAGCCAUGAGAGGCAAUCAGACAAUCUUUAAGGCGCUAUAUAAAUAAAAUGAUUUGAAAUAAUUGAAUGACUCUUUGU